GCCUUCGUGGUGUAACGGUCAGCACGCUCGAUGCAUAUUCGAGAGGUCCGGGGUUCGAGACCCUGUGAGAGCA